UGAGCCACUGCGCCCGGCCGGAUAUAAAUAUUGCUAAAGUGAACUUGAAUUAAAAAUGGCCUUUUAAAAUGAGCAAAAAGCCCAGUGCAGUGGCUCAUGCCUAUAAUCCCAGUGACUCUAGAGGCUGAGACUGGAGUAUCUCUUGAGCCCAGAAGUUUGAGGCUGCAGUGAGCCACGAUCGUGCCACUGCAAUUUAGCCUGGGCAACAGAGCCAGACCUCCACUCUAACAAAAAAUUUUUCUUUUGUUUUUGAGACAGGGUCUUACUCUGCUGCCCAGGCUAGAGUGCAGUGGCAUGAUCUUGGCUCACUGCAACCUCCACUUCCCGGGCUCAAGCGAUUCUUAUGCCUCAGCCUCCCAAGUAGUUGGGAUUACAGUGCGUGUCACAACGCCCAGCUAAUUUUUGUAUUUUUUUGUAGAGACAGGGUUUGACCAUGUUGCCCAGACUGGUCUCGAACUCCUGACCUCAACUGAUCUGCCCACCUCGGCCUCCCAAAAGUGCUGGGAUUACAGGUGUGAGCCACCACGCCCAGCCCAAAAAAUUUUUCUAAAAGGGAAAAAAAUAGAAAACACUCCUCUCAAAAUCACAGUCCCUGUCUGGGAUGCAUUUUUCUCAUCUCUAAACUGAGAAGCUUAGAAGAGAUGAAGGCUAAGCUUCAUCCCUUCCACUUCUAAAGGUCUAUGCUUCUAUUGUUUCCAGCAGACCUUUUGAAACCUAGCAGGGAAAAACCAGGCAAGGUCCAACUGCAGCCUCUAAGAGGAACACAGAAGAGCCUCUUAAUUUCUUGGGCUCAGCAACCGUUUUACUUCAGAAUAUUAUUUUAGUCUUCUGGCUACAGAACUGAAUUUCCAACCUGAAUCACAUGGAUCAAUGUCAGAGUGAAUCAGGCAUUCUUAUUCAAAAUAUACAUGUGAACAUAUAUUUUAAAAAUAAAUCUAAAUAAUAUACCAAUAUAAAAAUGUUCCCAGAACAAUUUUUUUUUUUUUUUUUUUUGAGAUGGAGUCUUGCUCUGUCACCAGGCUGGAGUGCAGUGGCACAAUCUCGGCUCCACAUCCCAGGUUCAAGUGAUUCUCCUGCCUCAGCCUCCCGAGUAGCUGGGACUACAGGCCAAUGCCACCAUGCCCAGCUAACUUUUGCAUUUUUUUAGUAGAGACGGGGUUUCACCAUGUUGGCCAGGAUGGUCUCGAUCUCUUGACCUUGUGAUCCACUAGCCUUGGCCUCCCAAAGUGCUGGGAUUACAGGCGUGAGCCACCACGCCUGGCCACAAAAUGAUUUUUAAAAGGGAAGACAGGUAAAUGGAUCGUCAUGCAUGCCUGUAAUCACCAUUUACUUGGAAGGCUGAGACAGGAGAAUCAUUUGAGCCCAGGAGUUCAAGGCUGCAGUGAGCUAUGACUGUGCGACUGCACUGCAGCCUGGGUGACAGAGCAAGACCUUGUCUCUAAAAAAAAAUAAAAAAUAAAAUUUUGUAAAAGGGAUCAUCAGAUAUCUCUGAAUCACAAAUUGCUUUUAUUCCUGGGAAUAAGACAAAACCACCAAACCUCCAAAGACAGCAUUCAAAGAUGCCUUUUGCAAUUUCGAAAGAUCCUUAUUUCUGCCAUGAUGCAGCUAAUAGGAUAUGUACAAGGGCCUUUUUUCUCUUUCUUUCUUUCUUUUGUUUCUUUUCUUUCUUUCUUUCUUUCUUUCUUUCUUUCUUUCUUUCUUUCUUUUCUUUCUUUCUUUUUGUCUUGGAAGAAGAAAGGUCAGUAGUAGAUUAGACUCUAAUGUUUCAAGAGAUUUCUUGGCAUAGAAAUUAUUUUCAAUGCCCAGAAUGAUGGAGGAAUAGAAGAUAAAUGGGAGAGAAAACGGUUUGGAUAUAUUUAGAAAUAAAGAUCUCCUAAAAUAGCAAACACAAAAGGAGAACUAGUGGUACAUUUUGUGUAAUUGUGGAAGAUGUUUAAAGGCUUUGUUGUCUUUCUUCACUUAUGACCAAAUUAUUUUCUAAAUUGUUAAAACUCAAAAUACUUAAUUUAUCCUAUAUGUACUUUACAUGCAUUAAAUUAUUAUGUAAUAAUAAUUUUCUUGAAGAUUCCAUCAGCAACACAGUAACAGUAAAUGCAUGGUGCAAGACCUCAUAUUAUAAAUCAUACUUAAUGUACAGUAUCAAAAAUAAAUUCACAACCUAACAACCAAUCUGAAAUCUAACUUCUCGUUGGAGGAAUGAGAUGUAUUUUAAUUAUAGGUAAUUGAUUAGGUUUAAUAACAAAUUUAGAAAGCUUCCAGUUUGCCAGCAGUCAAAGUUAUAACUGGGGCAUACCAGCAAAAGGUAGCACUGGAAUUAACACAGACUCAAAUGUUAGUUCACCCACAUUCUGCCUACUAUCCCCAUUCUCCUCCUGAACUACACCCCCAUGUGUCUUUUGCAUACAGAGCUCUCUUUGAAGCCAGCAAGUGUUUCAUGCGUGGGAAAUCAGGGGAAUCAAAGCUACCUUAUACAAAAGCAUAUGGUUAGGAGGCCAGGGGAUGCUGAAAAAACACUGCAUACAUACUUACAGUGUCCCUAUGGGGAGCUCAUCUGACUAUGAGACCCUCAAGUUUUGCACUUCUUAUGCCUACGGUGUUUAAAUUGGUGGCCUCAAUUUUAUAACACCAGGGUUUGUUUUCACAUUUAGUUCCCUGGGAUUUUUUUAAACUGACUUUGACAAAAAGGAAAAAAAGAAAAAGAGAGUGCAAAAUAGGAAAAGAAGGCAGGGAGUGGGGAAAGAAUAAAUCAUUAUGCAGCUCUCAGCCUCCACAGGGAAACAGCAGUACAAACCCACAGAUCCAGAAUUGUCAAGCAAUGGGGCUGUUUGUUUACAAGUCACAGAAUCAGUUAUGUAACUAGGGAAGUUAAAGAAACCUAGUGAGUGUGUGAGAGACUGAUUCUUUUGAAAUAGUCAAGAGACUUCAUUUCUGAAAUAGAUUCAUACAGAUGUUCUGUAUUCUUAUUUUUGGUUGCUCUAUAAAUUUAGUUUUUGAGUUUUCCAUGUAGAUAAUGACCCUUUAUUCUUUAUUAUUAUUAUUAGAUACACUAAAACACUUUCUUACCAUGGGAGUUGCUAAAGUAUCAGCAUGUAUUUUUAAGGGAAAUUGAAAUAGCUUUUUAUCUUCUGAUGUAUUAUGUUGGUAAAAAAGUAAUUGCGGUUUUUGCCAUUGAAAGUAAGGGCAAAACCGCAAUUACUUUUGUACCAACCUAAUAGAAUUCUUGUCUGAUUUAGCAGGAAAAAUGUAUUACAUGACCAAUAGAUCAGUUCCAAUUUCUGUCCACCCUUCACUCCGUUACUUCUUCUUUUAAAAAAAAUUGUUUUCACUUUUAUUCUCAAAGGAGGUGAUCUUCUUUUUCUAAUUGAUUUUUUUUUGUUUGCUUGUUUGUUUAAGUUCUGGGACCAUAAAGUGUUUAUAAGAUGCAGACCUUUAAAAAUAUUUCCAUGUAAGCCAGGAACAGUCGCUCACCCUUGUAAUCCGAACAAUUUGGGAGGCUGAGGCAGGAGGAUCACUUGAGGCCAGGAAUUUGAGAUCAGCCUGGGCAACAUAGCAAGACUUCAUCUUUAAAAAUAUAAAAUGUAUUUCCUUGUAAAUACAUUUUGUUGUAGAUCUGAGACAGUGUAAAAAUUUCAACUCUAAAGAAAAAAAUUAGAAAAUCAAAUGAUUUAAAUAAAUCAUCAUAUUGGAUUAUAGUAAAUUUCAUAAAUAAGUUAUUCUCAACAAACACCUUAGAUAAGAAAGUUUUUAUGAUCUGUUUAGUUAAUAUCUGCAUUUAUAUUUAAUACACUUUAAAAAUGUGAUUUUUUUCCUGAAAACUUAGAGCCACAAUUUCAGGGCUAUAUUGGUAAAAAUGGGAAUUGACUCUGAAAGAUUAUAAUUAAUCAACUUCUGAUAGCAAAUUAAACUCAAACUAUUGAGGUUGCAAAGUCAGUAACUUUAUGAGACAUUGUUUUUCUUUCUCAUUCAGCUAACUCAUUCUUCAGUGGGGUCAGUUUGGUGUCAUAUGUUACUCCAUGGGGAAAAACCCUAAGGGGAUUGAUGGAGAAGGAAAAAUCCUAAGGGGAUUGAUGGAGAAGAAUUAUGUUUUUCACCAGGCAGAAAAAAGCCCUGAAUUUGGUCCCUCAGGAAUCUUCUCAGGGUAUUUUCUGCUAGUAGUACCAGAGCCCUAUGGCCCUAUGGUGCCAGAGCUCUAUGCAGUUCCAGGAGGGAACUGCGCCACUGAGACUCAAUACCCAGAAGGCUGCUCAGCUCUUGUUCCUGCUACAAUCGACACUGAGGAUAGGGAUUAAAGCCUCAUUAGUCUUUCGAGGUAUGUGAGGAAUGGCUAUUUUGUUUUUGUUUAAUUAGGGUCUUGGUGUAGAGCAGGACAUUUAGUGGCCUAUGUCCUUCUGUCCAAUUUAAAGGUAGGGCUGAGCUGAUUCACUCUCUAGAGAUGAGUAGUGCAAUGAGCUACAAUUAAACAAAAAUAAUAAGAAGAACCUUUGCUCAGGGAGAAUGUUUCAGUAACUUAUAUGUUCCCGCCAGCAGCAUCAUAAAGCCUCUGCAGUUGGGCGUCUGAUAUUUACUAUCUUAGAACAGUGGUAUGAAUUAGCCAAGGUGUCUCCAUUUAUUUGGUUGUCAGUGAAUGCUAAAUAGAAAUAAAUGAGUCAAAAUUAAAGGAAAAGAUGGAUAUCAACUUGGCAUGAACUCCUCUGAAUUAUUAUUCAAAUUCUUGGGUCCUUCUGGACUUUAAGACCAUAUUUUUUCUAUGAUGGGCAAGAAAGAUGAUUUAUGCAGUUUAUUUAGAGGUAAAUUUUAUGGACAAAAUUUUAUACACAUCUAUACAAUAUGUGAGUUAUAAUCAUUGUUUUAAGAAACAAUGAUAGCAUACAGAGGUGCCUACAAAGUUUUUAUUUAAAGAGUCAGGGUCUCUGUCACCCAGGCUGGAGUGCAGUGGCGUGAUCCUGGCUCACUGCAACCUUGAACUCCUGGGCUCAAUCAAUUCUCCCUCCUCAGUCUCCCAAGUAGCUGGGACUACAUGCACAUGCCAACAUGACCAAUAAAUUGUUUUUUAUUUUUUUCAAGAUGGGGUCUCACUAUGUUGCCCAGGUUCAAUUUUAAAUAUUAUCUUUAUCUUUUUUGCCUGCUGCCCAAAGCCAUAAGAAAAUGUAUCAUUAUUACUUAAAAUGAAAUCAUAGCUGUAAUAAUACUUUACUAAUAAUAUUUUAAUUUCAAUAUGGAGCUUAAACUUUCAAAGCACUCUUAGAUAUGUAGGCCAAUUUAUUCAUUAUUUGAGUUCUUUAGUACACAUAGUACAUUCCUCUGAGAUAUGAAAUGGCAAUGAUAUGUACUCGUCUUAUUACAAAGUGAAGAUGGGAUAGAUUUUAGAUAUUUCAAAAAAUGAGUGUACUUUAUUUCUGUUUGUACAGUAGUCCCCCCCUUAUCCAUGGUUUCACUUUUCAUGGUUUCAAUUGCCCAACAUACAAUACAAUAAGAUAUUUUGAGAGAGAGACCACAUUAACCUUUAUUACAGCCUAUUGCUAUAAUUGUUCUAUUUUGUUAUUGUUAUUGUUAACUUCUUACUAUGCCUAGUUUAUAAAUUAAACUUUAUCAAAAAGUUAUGCAUGUAUAGCAGAAAACAGUAUCUAUAGGGUUCUGUACUAUUUGCCGUUUAGGCGCCCAGUGGGGGUCUUGAAAUAUAUCCCCCACGGGUAAGGGGGAACCACAUACUUCAAUACAAAGUUGAAAAAGCUCUGACCAUAUAGUAUUCAUGUUAAUUUGAUAUUAAAACAUCACUAAAACUCAGUGGACUAAUUCUCAAAAAAAAGGAUAUGUGUAGCUUUUGUUUCUUCAAUAACAAUGUAUAGAAGUGUCUUUUAAGAGUGAUUUUAAACUACUUGUCUUUCAAGAUAACUUUUAACUGAUGACUUGGGGGCACUCAUAAGCUCUCUGGGGAUAAAACUGAGAUUCCAUUAGAAUAUCUUUGUUUAGGUUGUGGACAGGGGCUCUUGCCUGUAAUCCCAGCACUUUGAGAGGCCAAGGCAGGAGAAUCGCUUGAGCCCAGAAGUUCGAGACCAGCCUGGGAAACAUGGUGAGAUCUCUUCUCUUAAAAAAAAAAAGAAAGAAAAGAAAAGAAAAAAAGAAAAAAAAAUUGGUUUAGUUUCUAAGUUCAAAGAGAGAGAGAGAGAAUAGGGAUAAAGAAGAGAAGAAAUUCCUUUCUGUACAGGGCAGCUUUAAGUAUAACUUCUUGGCGGUGUCUGAAGUGGCAGAGAGAGAAUGGCGUCUGGGAUUUGAUUCUCUGCACUGUGAUUUAAGUUCACUGAACCUUGGUUUCCUCAUCUAUAAAACGAGAAUGUUGUCUUGAAGAGCAGGUGCUUAGUACUAUUAUAGUAAGCAAAGGAGUUCAAUUAAAUUACUUCUUGGGUUUCUUUUAAAUGCCAGAAUUAAAUAAUUGUAAAAUAGAUGAACCAAUUUCCCUUCAAUUGUGAGUAGUUUAAAAUGCCACCGAAGAUGGCAGAAUAAGCCAUUAAAAUGGCUUUUAUAAAACUUUCUUCCUUCUGCUUUUAUCAACUAUAAAUUAAAGCUAUUCUAUUCAUAGUCUAAAGCUGAGGAAAUAAGCUUUUGUAACCUGCCAAUAUUUUCACCCCAGGAAAAUAAUUGUUCUUAGAAAAGCUAAAAUGGUCUGGGCACCAUGGCUGUCGCCUGUAAUCCUAGCACUUUGGGAGGUGGAGUCAGGUGGAUCACCUGAGGUCAGGAGUAUGAGACCAGCCUGGUCAUCAUGGUGAAACCCCAUCUCUACUAAAAAUACAAAAAUUAGCCAGGCGUGGUAGCAGGUGCCUGUAAUCUCAGCUACCCGGGAGGCGGAGGUUGCAGUGAGCUGAGAUUGUGCCAUUGCACUCCAGCCUGGGCAACAAGAGGGAAAUUCCAUCUCAAAAAGAAAAAUAGUAAGAAAAGCUAAAAUAUUCCUAUGCUUAAUCCUACUGUUGGAAGCAUAAAGAAUUGUUAUGUUUCUUGCAUGGGUUUAAAAACCAAGGACUGUUUUCAAAACUUAAAGCAAUGAUCAGGUGCCAUAUAACUGUCAAGUUAUACAUCACCUGAGGACCUUAAUGGAGCACAUAAUAAAUACUAAUUAAUUUAACCAACACCCCUGUGGUAAACGCAUUAUUACCCCUCCUCCCCUUUGAACAGGCAGGGAGACUGAUUCCAUGAGACCAAGCAACUCACCCUGGGGAUGUGUGGAAGAAGUUGCUGAGCCAGAAAAAGGAACCCAAGAGGUUGGAAUCUGAACCCUAUGUAUUUACAACUUAAGGAGAGUCUCGGCCGGGCGCUGUGGCUCACACCUGUAAUCCCAGCACUUUGGGAGGCUGAGGCAGGCGGAUCACGAGGUCAGGGGAUCGAGACCAUCCUGGCUAACACAGUGAAACCCCGUCUCUACUAAAAAAAUUCAAAAAAUCAGCCGGAGUGGUGGCGGGCGCCU
rnacentral:lncRNA from 1 species